rnacentral:lncRNA from 1 species
UUUUUUUUUUUUUUUUUUUUGUGCAAAAGGAGUUUUUUCCCCUCGGAUCUGAAUAACAACAUAUCUGUCCUGCAAAAUAAACCACUCAACUGUCGCAGAUAUUUGGGAAUGAACGCUUAGCCACUAAUUGGCUUCAGCUGUUUUUUCUCUUCAUUAUUUGAACUGAGAAAACAGCUGUUUUGGCAAAUGGUUAAGCCCCAAGUCACAUGGUUAGUGAUUUAUGUACUUCAAUGUGCUAAUGGAUGCCUUGUACUGCAUGGUUUUGUUUAUUUAAUUGUUACAGGCCAUAGUUAAUGAAUCAUGACUUUCCUUAAACACAUAGUGAACCCAAUCUCAUGGAGCAGCUCUUCAUUUGGAAGGUUUGUUUUCAGAUAAUUUUUCUCAGAUUAUAAUGUGCUUGAUUUUACCUCUCUGGGGUAACAAGAAAACAAGGAGAAAGUGGUGAUAACGAGUUAUGUUUUUAUGAAACUUGAUGUGCUUGCAAGUGAGCAGGGAGUAGACUGUCAAAGAACCCAGUAGAAGAAGUGGGGACAAGAAACAGAACAAAACAAUUUGCCUCUUGAAUUAUUUGUGCUAACCAUACUUUGUAGAGUGCUAUUCCCAGAGCCCAUUAACGUCAAGAGCAGGACAUUCAGUUACAUUCACCCUUUAGGGUAUUCAUUGACAGGUGCUGGAAUGAAAUCCUUUAAGUUAUUCAAAGAAGUAUUUUCUCACCUCCAUGAUUAGAAGAGGUCCAUCACAAAUACUGGUGCUCUUCCCUAAUUAAAAUAAGUUCUGUCAUUCCAAUAAUAUUUAGAAUAAUAAAUACAUUUGACUAGAAAUGACCACUUUGAGUUACAUUCAAAGUGACAGCAAUGAAGGAAAUGGCAAAUUUUAACAUUAGAGGUUUAGUUUAAAAAAAAGCAUGACGUCUUCAAGUAGACUAUUGCUUAAGUCAUACUAGACAGUUACGCUGUUUGCAAGACUCUCAAUGUGGGUACUUCAGCCUCCUCAAGUAAUCAGUUCUAGCUUUUAAUCCUUGAUGUCAGAAAAUUAUGAUUUUACCUAACAAAAUGUAUCUGAUUUGGGGGAGUUCCCAUCAUGGCACAGUGGAAGUGAAUCUGACUAGGAACCAUGAGGUUGCAGGUUCGAUCCCUGCCCUUGCUCAGUGGAUUAAGGAUCCGAUGUUGCCAUGAGCUGUGGUGUAUGUCACAUCCGUGGCUUGGAUCCAGCAUUUCUGUGGCUGUGGUGUAGGCCAGCAGCUAUAGCUCCAAUAAAACCCCUAGCCUGGGAACCUCCAUAUACCACAGGUGUGGCCCUAAAAAGACCCAAUAAAAAAAAGGGGUCUGAUUUUUGACAAGCAUAGCUCUCAUAGGAUGAUAGAACUAUUAUUCAACAGAACAUUAGACCUCAAAUAAUUCAGUCCUCCGAUCCCACAAUAAGGAAACAAAGCCUUGGGGGGUUAAAUGUAAUGUCCACUCAUAGAUGCAGGCAAAUUCACUGAAAAUGGAAUAAUCCCAACAUUUUAAGAACAUUUUUAAUAUUUGGGUCUCACCUCUGUGCUCUGUGGAUUUUGCCUUGCUUCCACCUCUGCUCUAAUAAUGUCCUGGUUGUAAAUGUGGUUAAGGUGAAUUUGCAUGAAUGCAGCAGAAUAGCUAGGAGGAGUCAAGACCAAGAAUAGCUGAGAACUGGAGUUUAUAGAAAAGCAUGGUAAUUAUCAACCUGAAGAACAGAAUCAUCAGUUGGGGAGUUUUGAAUCAGGGUGAGUUUUCUCCAAAUAUUAUCAAAAUGUUAAUGUCAAGGGUGAAUCUUGGAUCUGAAGGUGUUGGAGUCACUAAACUUACAUGAAGAGGACACACAGGCAAAGAUGAAAGAAGGAUGAAUGUGACCAUUUUAAAGAACAGAAUGGAUUUUCACUAACGUAUCAUUGAUGAAGAUGAAUGUCAGGUGCAUUUCUGAAUCACCCGAGUGAUAUAGUAAAUAGCAUAGCAUAGGACAGAUAGUUCCUGGGGACCUAUAAUGGGUUUUCUCUCUCUCUCUGCACCUAACUUCGGGGGCAAGAUAUACACUGAUCAAAGUAAGUGAAACACAACAACAAAAUAAGGAUUUUGUAAUUUAAAGGGAAUUUUAAAAAAUUCCUCUAGAGCACAACCCACUUUCCUCUAGCCCUUCCUGGCUCCUUUGAACUCAUCUCUUCCUCCUUCAUCUAUCCACAACAGCAACCCAAGUGUGCCAUAUGACUGAAAAUAAAAAGGCUACAGACCAAUGUAAGUACACUAGGUCUUAGGAUGCUUGAUGAAAAGAGCAAAACUCUUUGUAAGCAAAGGAGAUGAUACAUAAUUGGAUGCUAUACAUACUAUGUCUAGUGUGUUGAAUAGUGCCCCCCAACUUCAUGUCAUUCCCAGAACCUCAGAAUGUGCCUUUAUUUGGAGAUAAAAUCUUUACAGUGUUAGUUAAUUAUUAUGAGGUCAUACUGGAUUAGGGUGGGCCCUAAAACUGGUGUCCUUAUAAAAAGAGAAGAGACAGAAACAGCCACACAGAGUAGGAAGAUGGCCAUGUGAAGACAGGGGUAGAGAUUGGAGUGAGAUUUCAGACUUAUGGCUUCCAGCAUGGCAAAGAAUAAAUUUCUGUUGUUUUAAGGACCCUAUUUUGUUGUACAUGUGUUGUUAGAGUAGUUCUAGGAAAUUAACUCACUGGGAAUGGGGUUGGAAGUGGACUUUCAUUUACAGCAUUCAGAGUUGCAAGGUGAGGAAUUGGAUUAGGCAGAGAACCCAAAAGCAUGAACAAAGAAUGAUAAAUCCUUAUAGUAAAAGACCAAAUUACUGGAUUCAUAAUGUCAGAGACACAUAAACAAAGGAAAGAACAUAUUACAAAAAGAAAAAUGUUUAUGAUACAUGAAAGACACACAUAUAAUACUCUCAAAACCUAAAUAUUUCUUUAAAAAGUGAGCUGAGUGAAGUCAGAAAGAGAAAGACAAAUACCAUAUAAUAUCACCCAUAUCUGGAAUCUAAUAUACGGCACAAAGGAACCUUUCCACAGAAAAGAAAAUCAUGGACUUGGAGAAUAGAUUUGUGGUUGCCAAGAGGGAAGGGUAGGAAGUGGGAGUGACUGGGAGCUUGGGGUAAAUAAAUACAGAAUGUUGCCUUCGGGAUGGGUUAGCAAUGGAAUACUGCUGUGUAGCACUGGGAACUCUAUCUAGUCACUUAUGAUGGAACAUGUAAUAUGAGAAAAAAGAAUGUAUACAUGUUAAGUGUAACUGAGUCACCAUGCUUUACAGUAGAAAAAAUAUACACAUAAAUAAAAGAUUAAAAAAUAAAGAAAAAGUGAGCUCUCUAAUAGAAAUGUAAGAAACUCAAAUUAAAAUGCAAGAUAUUUUAUUUACUUAAUUGACCACCAAAGAUGAGAAAAAUUACUAAACCUAUCAUUAGUAAGAGUGUGGGGAGACAGACACUCUGUGCUGCUGUUCAAAGUAUUCGAGCUCUUUGUUGCUGAUCCAUAACCAGAAAGAUACAAAAAACUGAAAGUGUUCUGAAAUUAUUAGAGCAAAUCAAACUUGCUGUGACAUCCAGGUGAGUGGCUGGAGGACUUGUCUGUUUGGAAAGGGUAGGACUGCUCAAGUCAUGUGAUCAGUCUUACAUAUUCAGAGUUGCAUGCUAAUUAUAAAAAUAUAAGAUCAUGUUUCAUCAAGUGGUAAUUUCCAGCUUCACUGAGAUAUUACUGACAUAUGACAUAAAUUUAAGGUGUACAAUGUGAUAAUUUGAUACAUGCAUAUUUUAGGAAAAGAUUAUCAUAUAUAGCUAACACCUAUAUCUCCUAAUUCUUGUUUUUGUGAAUUCUACUCUCUUAACACCUUUCAAGUACAUUAUACAGUGUUAUUCAAUGUAGUUACCAGGCUGUAUAUUAGAUUUCAGAACCAAUCCAUCUUACAGCUAGAAAUCUGUACUCUUUGUUCAACAUCUCUCCAUUUCCCCCAUCCCCUAGCAACCACUUUUCUAUUUUUUUAAUUUCAUUUUUUUAGAUUCUAUAUAUAAGUGAGCAUGUGCAGUAUUUGUCUUUGUCUGGCUUAUGUCACUUAGCAAAAUGUCAUCUAGUUUGUCCGUGUUUUCUCAAAGAGGCAGGAUAUCCUUCUUUUUUAUGGCAGAAUAAUAUAUAUUUUAUAUAGGUCACAUUUUAUUUGUUCAUUCAUCUGUUGAUGGGCACUUAAGACUGUUUAUAUGUCUUUGCUACUACCCUUGAUGCUGCAAUGGACCUGGUAAUGCAAUUAUCUCUGUGAGACAGAGACUUUAUUUCCCUCAGAUAUGGAUCUAAACCUGUGAUUGCUUGAUCAGAGAGCAGUUGUAUUUUUAAUUUUCAACAAUAUUUUAUUAGUUUCUCAACUAUAACCCAGAAAUGAAUAUUUAAAACAUCUGUAUUUAGGACACUGAAACUGUAUCUUUCACAACCAUUUUAUUUUAAGUCAAACCUUUAUAACUUAUGAUUCAAAACUGUUAAAUUAUGGAGAUGAUAUUUAUAUUACUAAGUUUUAACUCUCAAGGUUGGGACAUAUUUUCAUUGACUUUUUUUUUUUUUUUUUUUUUUGCUUUUUAGGGCUGUACCCACAGCAUGUGGAAGUUCCCAGGCCAGGGCUUGAACUGGAGCUGAAGCUUCUGGGCUACACCACAGUCACAGCAAUGCUGGAUCCCCAACUAACUGAGCAAGGCCAGGGAUCAAACCCACACCCCCAUGGAUACUAGUCAGAUUCAUUUCUACUGUGCCACAACAGGAACUCCCUUCACUGACUAUUUUUUAAGAAAAAGAUCUUUUCUGGAUGUGGCAGGAAUCAUAAAUCAAAUGAUGAAAAAUAUUCCAAACAAAUUAAUUAUUGUUAGUAUUUUUACUCACAUGUAUGAUUCCUUAUAUAUUAUAUUCAGCUUUGUAGUUUUAUUUGAUGAUGAAAUGCUAAAGCAAUAGUUUAUUCUUUAUGGCAAUGUACUGGCUAAUAAAACAAUGCAGUUCUGAAAACUUAGACUUGCAUACAAAAUGUAAGGACAUAAGUUCAAAACAAGUAAUUCUUCAAAAGGAGGGAUACUGAUGAAUAAUUUUACAGGUAUAUGCUUAAUAUUUCACAUAUAAAUAUUAGUCCUUUUUAGGCUUCUUUUAAAGCAUUAUUUUUAGUAUAAGGUUAAUCUGAACAUGUGGGUACUCUGCAGGAAAAUUUCCUUUCAGUUCAUUGUUAAUGAAUACAGCUAUAUCUGAACUACAUAAACUACAAAAAAUUGCAUUGUCAAAUAUUUUAUUUUUUAAUAUUUUUAAAUUAGAAUAUAGUUGAUUUACAAUGUUUUGCCAAUUUAUACUGUACAGCAAAGUGACUUAUCCACACAUAUACACAUUCUUUUUUUAAUAUUAUUUUCCAUCAUGGUCUGUCCCAGGAG